GCACCACAAGGGGUGAAGCCUGCGGUUCAAUUGGACUCAACGCCGGAAAACUUACCAGGGGAGACAGCAGUAUGACGGUCAGGUUGACGACCUUACCUAACGAGCUGAGAGGAGGUGCAUGGCCGUCGCCAGUUCGUGCCGUGAGGUMYCCYSYUAAGUCAGGCAACGAACGAGAUCCGCACCUUUAUUUGCCACCAAGAAGUCACGACUUCGUUGGGAACACUAAAGGGACCGCCGUCGAUAAGACGGAGGAAGGAGCGGGCAAAGGCAGGUCAGUAUGCCCCGAAACCCCUGGGCUACACGCGGGCUGCAAUGGUAUGAACAAUGGGCUGUGACUCCGAAAGGAGAAACCAAUCCCGAAAUCAUAUCUCAGUUGGAAUUGUCGGCUGUAACCCGCCGUCAUGAACGCGGAAUCCCUAGUAAUCGUGUGUCAUCAUCGCACGGUGAAUACGUCUCUGCUCCUUGCACACACCGCCCGUCGCUCCAUCCGAGUGUGCUAAAAAUGAGGUUUGGUCAAUUUGGUCAUAUCGAGUUUCUAGUAUGCGAGGAGGGA
rnacentral:rRNA from 1 species